GCAUGAAGGAGACCGAAAGCACAAGUAUAACACCUUGCCCAAUUCUAUUAUGUAACUGUAACUCUUUUAUUUAUGGAUUUAUUUCUGUGACCUCCUUUAUUCAAAUAUUUUACCACUCUUACAACACUGGCAAACAUUAGAGAAAAAAGAAAAAACAGAACAAUGUGAUUGGCUUCAUCUCCAAUUGAUGGAUCAGCGGUAGGAUUUUCAGAAGCCCCAACACGUCUCAGCUGUCAGCAACCAAAAUGUUGUUUUGUUUUAACGAAAUGAACAAUUUUAAGGAAAACAAAAAUCAUCAAACAAUUUUGCAAAGAAAAAAAAUCCUGAGCAGCUCAAGUUUGUCAGUUUAAGGACACUCCACGAGUUGACCAAAGUGAACAGCAAUAAGAGAACGCUAUAAAGUUUCCAGGCCACGAUCAAGAGAAAUAAGAGUAGGAACUAAAUGCUUGGGGGUGGGGGGAGGCACAUUUUUUUAAAUAGUGCAGCUGAUUAAUCAACGAAACAAACCGCCAAGGAAAGUGGAGGAUCACUUGAUGGCCUCAAAUGAAGAGUGGAUGCAUUUCUGAAAGGUGUGUGUAGUGGUGAAGGUGGCCCACUCCAGCAGGGGGUGGGGCAGAGGCAGCCAGGGAGGCUGUGGAAAGCUGCAGCUAGUUAAGGCGAGACUUAUUUGGAGCCAGACAGGCAGUAGCUGCUGCGGCAGCCAAGCUAUAAGAAGCUGCCCAGCAGAGCAGAGGGGAGUCUCUCCCUGACAAGCAAGGAAAGAGAACUGGCUCCCAGGGAUAGCAUCUGAGAUAGAGCAGUGCUGGGCAGGCUCAGGGGAGCGGAGGGUGAGCUCUGGCUUGUUAUCUGCUAGGCUGCAGACCCCUGCUAGAAAGGGCCAAGAAGGUGCAAGGGCCAAGGGGAAGUGGCCCAGGGACAAUAGGCAGACAAGGGGAGAGAAGAAGGGAGAGAGGCUGCCGCUAGAGGGUUCCUGAGUAGCGUGUGGGCUUGGGUUCCGCCCUCCCCCCCGACACCUUCGCCCUUGCACUGCACCUGGCUGCAGAGAAGCAUGACCAAUACAGACUGCAACUUGCCCCUGAAGUGAGGGGCUAGACUUUGGGCUGUGGUUGGCCCCUGCAGCAGGUGCAGGCCAAAGGACUGCUGUGACCCGCAGAAGGGCGGUGAGAAAGAAGUAGUGGGCACUGCCGGAGAGCAGUGUCCUGAAGAGGACACGGCUGAGCGGAGGAGCAACAGCGGAGUAGAACAAAUAACGGGCAAGACAUCACCCACAGAGGGUGCUCCAGAGCUGGACUGAACUAAUUCCCGGAGCAACCAGCAGGAGGCGCUGCGGUGCUCGCAAAUACAGCAAGGUUCAAUCCUAUCAAUGGUACUGGGUGCUGCACUGCCUACCAAGUGGUCCCACUGAAUGAGACCUGCUCACUGUGAUGGCCGUGCUUUGGAGCAGGGAGCAUUUGUACAGUGUCAGCUCAACUGGGGACUCUAGGCAUUAUCUUACUACAUAUACACAAACACAUGCUGCCCCAUUUGCAGAAGAGGUAAUAGACUAAUGUCAGUUACUUGCUAGAAG